rnacentral:lncRNA from 1 species
ACAAUUCUCAGGUUACGGAUCCAAUCCGAGUAAUUUGUUCCAUUCAACUUGUCCUUCUCAAGGACCGAACGCAAAGCAAACGGUGUAGUGUUGCUAGGUGCCAUUUAAUCUACAACAAAGUAAUGCAAAAUACACUAAGACAAACGUAUCCAUGAUAGAGCAAAUCACAUUAAACUAUUUUAACAGAAUCUACUCCCACUAAAAUCAAUAUCCCUCUAUUGAAACUUAGUGAUUCAGGAUCCACAACUAACAAGUCCACUAGUGAGCUUUAGCAUCACCGCUAGGAAACAAGGUAGAUCAGUAAGUAACUUUUGCUAAUCAUAUCACAUAUGACUCCUGUUGUUGGGUGACAUCUCUAUGUCUCG